GACGAACGCUGGCGGCGUGCCUAACACAUGCAAGUCGAACGAGAAAGGGGCUUCGGCUCCGAGUAAAGUGGCGCACGGGUGAGUAACACGUAGGUAACCUGCCUCUAAGAUUGGGAUAACAUGUCGAAAGACGUGCUAAUACCGAAUAAGACCACGGCUUCCUCGGAAGCAGGGGUCAAAGAUAGCCUCUACUUGUAAGCUAUCACUUAGAGAUGGGCCUGCGUACCAUAGCUAGUUGGUAGGGUAAUGGCCUACCAAGGCAAAGAUGGUUAGCUGGUCUGAGAGGAUGAUCAGCCACACUGGAACUGAGACACGGUCCAGACUCCUACGGAGGCAGCAGUGGGAAUAUUGCGCAAUGGGCGAAAGCCUGACGCAGCAACGCCGCGUGAGUGAUGAAGGCCUUCGGUCGUAAG
rnacentral:rRNA from 1 species